rnacentral:rRNA from 1 species
UACGUAGGGUGCGAGCGUUAAUCGGAAUUACUGGGCGUAAAGCGUGCGCAGGCGGUUCGCAAAGUCUGAUGUGAAAGCCCCGGGCUCAACCUGGGAACUGCAUUGGAAACUAACGGGCUCGAGUGUGGCAGAGGGGGGGUGGGAAUUCCACGUGUAGCAGUGAAAUGCGUAGAGAUGUGGAGGAACACCGAUGGCGAAGGCAGCCCCCUGGGCUAACACUGACGCUCAGGCACGAAAGCGUGGGGAGCAAACAGG